GAGUUUGAUCUUGGCUCAGAUUGAACGCUGGCGGCAUGCCUUACACAUGCAAGUCGAACGGCAGCAUGAUCUAGCUUGCUAGAUUGAUGGCGAGUGGCGAACGGGUGAGUAAUACAUCGGAACGUGCCCUGUAGUGGGGGAUAACUAGUCGAAAGAUUAGCUAAUACCGCAUACGACCUGAGGGUGAAAGUGGGGGACCGCAAGGCCUCAUGCUAUAGGAGCGGCCGAUGUCUGAUUAGCUAGUUGGUGGGGUAAAGGCCCGACCAAGGCGACGAUCAGUAGCUGGUCUGAGAGGACGAUCAGCCACACUGGGACUGAGACACGGCCCAGACUCCUACGGGAGGCAGCAGUGGGGAAUUUUGGACAAUGGGCGAAAGCCUGAUCCAGCAAUGCCGCGUGUGUG
rnacentral:rRNA from 1 species